UUACAUAUAAUGGUUCAUCAUAGUAUAUGAGAAAAAUUUAACAUACUAGAUUAUAACUUAACUAAGUGAUUACUUAUAUGAACGAUGACAACAUAUUAGAUUAUAACUUAACUAAGGGGCUGUUUGGUAGCCUCUUAAUUGAAAAAUUAAGAGGCAACCUCUUAAAAGUUCAGAUUUAGAGUGUUUGGAUUUAUCUUAUUUUUUUUGCCUCUUAAUUUGAAAAUGCCUCUUAAUUUCUCAGACAUAAGUUUGUAUCUGAAAAAAAGAAAGGAGAGGCGUGUUCCUAUUUUGCCCAAAAUAUAUACCUUCCUGUAUUUUCUAUAUCACGACACGGCUUCCCCUCCCAAUCAUCUUCGACGACCUGCAACCCUCCACCACUCUAGCCAUCGGCCAGUCACCGCCUCCACCAGAACCUCCGCCUCCUCCAGCGUCGCUGUCUGCGCCUCCCACCAGCCCCCUUUCUGUCGCUCUUUACCCUCACCAUCAAUAGCUGGAGAACAGUCGACGACCCUCAUCCCCAUCGCCAUCUCUGGCCGUCGCCACCCUCCUCAUCGCUAUCUCUGGGCGUUUCCACCAUAGUCGGUUUUCCGAAUUGAAAUCGAUUUCCCCAUAACCAUGGGUUCCCAACUCAACCCAAGUAGUUUCAAAAACAUUACAAACUAUUACAGGAUCCCAUUUUGACCAAUGCCACUAGAAAUGCUCUAAAUCUCCAUGUUGAUGUUUAUUGCCACUGGAAGCAGCUUUACCUAACUACUGAUCACUAACAUUGCUUUCUUUCACAAAAUAUGAACAAGAGCAAUGUUGCUUAACAGCCACAUCAGCAUUCUGAUUGCUUACUUGUUCUACUCUAUUCUUAUGCACGGGCUUUUUAGAAGCCUGUUUUCAUUGUAGCUGCAAGUUAAAUUUUCUUAUGACAAAGUUACAAUUGGUUUAUGGUGAUAUAAGUCAGAAUAAAUAGUACAUUGUCAUUUGUCAAUGAUGUUUGGUUACAAAUUGACAUCUGAUAUAAAAUGUUCUUAUGUGUAUUGUUUAAUUUUGUGGAAUUUGUUCAUGUGUGUAGUGUUGAAUUUAACUUUUGGUGCCUUGUUUUUAGUUCUUGGUGAAUCAAUAUUUUACCCAUUAUUUUACAUGGAUGAAAGAAGUUUUGUGAAGGGUAUUGUUUAAUUUUGUAGGGAUGUAUUCAAUGAGCUUCCACAUAUCAGUGAUGGUUUGGAACACAUAUAGAUAAGGGUAGUGUACAUGUCAUGAUGUGUAAAUGAGAAAAUAGAAAUGUAUUUUUAUUGAUUUCUAUAUAGCAUCAUAUUUUCAUCUCAUUGUAUUUUUUAAAAAUGUAUUUAGUUUUAACAAUGUCAUCCAAAAUGUUUAUAUUUAGAUUUUUGUUUAA